UGCAGCCAUGCCGCGUGUGUGAAGAAGGCCUUCGGGUUGUAAAGCACUUUCAGUAGGGAGGAAGGUAGUGUAGUUAACACCUGCACUAUUUGACGUUACCUACAGAAGAAGCACCGGCUAACUCCGUGCCAGCAGCCGCGGUAAUACGGAGGGUGCGAGCGUUUAAUCGGAAUUACUGGGCGUAAAGCGCAUGCAGGCGGCCUGUUAAGUCAGAUGUGAAAGCCCGGGGCUUAACCUCGGAAUUGCAUUUGAAACUGGCAGGCUAGAGUCUUGUAGAGGGGGUAGAAUUUCAGGUGUAGCGGUGAAAUGCGUAGAGAUCUGAAGGAAUACCAGUGGCGAAGGCGGCCCCCUGGACAAAGACUGACGCUCAGAUGCGAAAGCGUGGGGAGCAAACAGGAUUAGAUACCCUGGUAG
rnacentral:rRNA from 1 species